GCGAACGCUGGCGGCAGGCCUAACACAUGCAAGUCGAGCGGAUGACGGGAGCUUGCUCCUGGAUUCAGCGGCGGACGGGUGAGUAAUGCCUAGGAAUCUGCCCGGUAGUGGGGGACAACGUUUCGAAAGGAACGCUAAUACCGCAUACGUCCUACGGGAGAAAGCAGGGGACCUUCGGGCCUUGCGCUAUCAGAUGAGCCUAGGUCGGAUUAGCUAGUUGGUGAGGUAAUGGCUCACCAAGGCGACGAUCCGUAACUGGUCUGAGAGGAUGAUCAGUCACACUGGAACUGGGACACGGUCCAGACUCCUACGGGAGGCAGCAGUGGGGAAUAUUGGACAAUGGGCGAAAGCCUGAUCCAGCCAUGCCGCGUGUGUGAAGAAGGUCUUCGGAUUGUAAAGCACUUUAAGUUGGGAGGAAGGGUUGUAGAUUAAUACUCUGCAAUUUUGACGUUACCGACAGAAUAAGCACCGGCUAACUCUGUGCCAGCAGCCGCAGUAAUAC
rnacentral:rRNA from 1 species